rnacentral:rRNA from 1 species
AGUGAACGCUGGCGGUAGGCCUAACACAUGCAAGUCGAACGGCAGCACAGUAAGAGCUUGCUCUUACGGGUGGCGAGUGGCGGACGGGUGAGGAAUAUAUCGGAAUCUACUUUUUCGUGGGGGAUAACGUAGGGAAACUUACGCUAAUACCGCAUACGACCUACGGGUGAAAGCAGGGGAUCUUCGGACCUUGCGCGAUUGAAUGAGCCGAUGUCGGAUUAGCUAGUUGGCGGGGUAAAGGCCCACCAAGGCGACGAUCCGUAGCUGGUCUGAGAGGAUGAUCAGCCACACUGGAACUGAGACACGGUCCAGACUCGUACGGGAGGCAGCAGUGGGGAAUAUUGGACAAUGGGCGCAAGCCUGAUCCAGCCAUACCGCGUGGGUGAAGAAGGCCUUCGGGUUGUAAAGCCCUUUUGUUGGGAAAGAAAAGCAGCAGGUUAAUACCCCGCUGUUCUGACGGUACCCAAAGAAUAAGCACCGGCUAACUUCGUG